rnacentral:hammerhead_ribozyme from 1 species
AUCCAUCCGAUGAGUCCCAAAUAGGACGAAAUGCGCAUCCUGGAU